GAUGAGCGCUGUCGGCGCGCCUAACACAUGCAAGUCGAACGGCACCUAUCUUCGGAUAGAAGCGAGUGGCGAACGGCUGAGUAACACGUGGAGAACCUGCCCCCUCCCCCGGGAUAGCCGCCCGAAAGGACGGGUAAUACCGGAUACCCCCGGGCGCCGCAUGGCGCCCGGGCUAAAGCCCCGACGGGAGGGGAUGGCUCCGCGGCCCAUCAGGUAGACGGCGGGGUGACGGCCCACCGUGCCGACAACGGGUAGCCGGGUUGAGAGACCGACCGGCCAGAUUGGGACUGAGACACGGCCCAGACUCCUACGGGAGGCAGCAGUGGGGAAUCUUGCGCAAUGGGGGGAACCCUGACGCAGCGACGCCGCGUGCGGGACGGAGGCCUUCGGGUCGUAAACCGCUUUCAGCAGGGAAGAGUCAAGACUGUACCUGCAGAAGAAGCCCCGGCUAACUACGUGCCAGCAGCCGCGGUAAUACGUAGGGGGCGAGCGUUAUCCGGAUUCAUUGGGCGUAAAGCGCGCGUAGGCGGCCCGGCAGGCCGGGGGUCGAAGCGGGGGGCUCAACCCCCCGAAGCCCCCGGAACCUCCGCGGCUUGGGUCCGGUAGGGGAGGGUGGAACCACCCGGUGUAGCGGUGGAAUGCGCAGAUAUCGGGUGGAACACCGGUGGCGAAGGCGGCCCUCUGGGCCGAGACCGACGCUGAGGCGCGAAAGCUGGGGGAGCGAACAGGAUUAGAUACCCUGGUAGUCCCAGCCGUAAACGAUGGACGCUAGGUGUGGGGGGACGAUCCCCCCGUGCCGCAGCCAACGCAUUAAGCGUCCCGCCUGGGGAGUACGGCCGCAAGGCCAAAACUCAAAGGAAUUGACGGGGGCCCGCACAAGCAGCGGAGCAUGUGGCUUAAUUCGAAGCAACGCGAAGAACCUUACCAGGGCUUGACAUAUGGGUGAAGCGGGGGAGACCCCGUGGCCGAGAGGAGCCCAUACAGGUGGUGCAUGGCUGUCGUCAGCUCGUGUCGUGAGAUGUUGGGUUAAGUCCCGCAACGAGCGCAACCCCCGCCGCGUGUUGCCAUCGGGUGAUGCCGGGAACCCACGCGGGACCGCCGCCGUCAAGGCGGAGGAGGGCGGGGACGACGUCAAGUCAUCAUGCCCCUUAUGCCCUGGGCUGCACACGUGCUACAAUGGCCGGUACAGAGGGAUGCCACCCCGCGAGGGGGAGCGGAUCCCGGAAAGCCGGCCCCAGUUCGGAUUGGGGGCUGCAACCCGCCCCCAUGAAGUCGGAGUUGCUAGUAAUCGCGGAUCAGCAUGCCGCGGUGAAUGCGUUCCCGGGCCU
rnacentral:rRNA from 1 species